GAAGAACUGUUAUGUGAUGGUACCAGUGUAGGAAGAUUAACGGUUGUUUUCGUAACACGAUGAAUAUUGUGUCUCCGAGCUCAGCAAUUUUUGAUAAGAUAAACAAGAAUGUCCAAAAACCAGAAACGUGGUCUUGUGUAAGGUGAACAAAUACUAUAAUAAAAUCCAUGAUGCCUUAACGUAUGAAACAUUUCUGGUGCUGUCCUAAGAAAUCCCAUAAUGGAGAAUAAUGCAAGCAUUGCACUCCACAAAGCAAGUUUGCUUCUCAGGUUAAACUUUGGUCUAUUUGACAUGUAAUGUUUCCCACCAAAAAUUAGGACGGCGUAGAUCCCACAGUAUAAGAAACAAUUUGGGUAAUGACUUCUGCUCCAUGUUAGAGAAUUUGUGUAAGACAUUCGGCUCACAAGUAGACGUAUCACUGGAAUCCUCUCACCUUUUGCAGGAUGUUGAUUUUGAUAUGAACUUGGAACCGUACUUACCUAUCUUGCAUUCCUAAGCCAUCCCUUUCAGGGGUGUCUCAAGUCACGUGCGUUUUAACCCCUAACCAUUUCUGAAGCCACAGCAUACGAAUAAUUACUUAUUUUACUUGUAUUUAAAUAAAACGACUUGAAGCAAGUCCGUGCAAGGAAGCAAGACAAAUUA